UGUUACAUACAUUUCAACAAAACCAUUAUACCCUGAUUUCCCAUUGAAAAUGGGUUCAGGGUAUAAAAACAAGUUCCUCUUUCGUUCAACUAGGUACACACGAUGCAAACAAUUUGCAGCAAGCUGAUUGAUGCAAUCGAAUUUGCACGUUUUAACACGAGUGCAAACAUUUUGCUGCAAGCAAAAAAUUUGCAAUAACUGUUUGCGGCAACUUUUGUUGCUUGUCGUCUGAAUACAGAAUUUUACCGUUAACUUGGUUGCGUCAGUAGUUGCUUGCUUGUUUGCAUGUGCUGUUUGCUCUCAGUCGCAAUAUUGCAGCAAGCAAGGCAAAAUGUGGGAUCGCGAAAAAACGAUUGAAUUAAUUGAAUUGUACGAGAAUUUUGCAGUUUUAUGGGAUGUUUCGUCAGCAGACUAUAAAAAUAAGUAUAAAAAGCAAAAUGCUUAUCGCGAAAUUGCGGAAAAAUUAAACAAAAGUGAUGAUGAAAUCAAAACAAAAAUUCAUCAUUUGCGCACUCAAUUUUUGCAAGAGGUGCGCAGAGUGAAGCAAAAAAAGAGUGACCAGGGUAAAUUGGACAAUUAUACCAGCAAAUGGGAGUUUUUCGAUGCGCUUAAAUUCAUUAAAAAUGACGACGGAAAUAAUUAUAAAAUUCAAAAUAUUAGCAAACCAAAGAAGCGAAAGAGUGCUGACAGCAAUGAAUUCCUUGCAAAAGCGAUGAGACAUUCGGAAAAUGCUAAGGAAAAAGAUAUCGCUGACAUAUAUGCAGAAUCCUGGGCCGCAACAUUCAGGCAGCUGCCAGCGGAUCAGCAAAUUUUUGCCAGAAAGGGGAUUGAGGAACUGCUAUUCCAAGGCCAACUGGGUAUGCUGACGUUUGAAAGCGUAGCUCAACAUGCAUACCAAUCCAGCACACCAGUUACUGCUAGACCAAUCCCUUCAGUUGUGUAUCAUCGGAACAGCGUUAAUAAUCUGUCUACAUGUCUCAAUUACACUUCGGCCAACACUUUGCGGAGAAAUUCCAGUUGAAAAUUUUAAGUCCUCAUAUGAUUGUCAGCAAAGUUGCCGAAAGCCUUUCAUUUGGCGUUAUUGACAUUCUCGAGGGAAUGUCGUGUCGUUUAGUCUUAGGUCCUACCAAACUUAGUAAUUCCUCAUAGGUUUCCCCAUCCAUUCAAAGAAAAUUCUUCAAGUCCAGGUGGGACGUUUCGUUCAGCUCUUUUAACAAUUUUGUGUGAGUGAAUUUUCCUCGCUUUGCGUACCACUCUUUCAUCCACAUAUUAUGCUUUCUUUUAUUUUUUUUUCUUGUUCUAUUUUUAAGUACACUUAUUGCCAUUAGGGCAACGAUUUUAUUUCGCUCCUCAGACACGUUUCCCUCUCGAAAAAUUUUUAAAAAUGUUGUUCGACGUACAAUGUUGCAAUGAUUGUGUUCGGCGAACAUGUUCGCAAGUGGAUGGACCCCUUUACUCUUUCCAAUGAGCAAAGUGUGGAAGAAAGGAGACAGCAUUUGCAAACUAAUAAUAAUCGAUAACAUCUCAAUCAACUAUCGAGAAGUGAUUCCCGCCCUGGCCAAAGAUGAGAAUAAAUAAAUCUAAUAAUUUGGUGUCAACUGUUUCCAUAACAGAUUUAUAUAGAUAUAUAUAUUUGUAAUAUAUGAUAAUAAUAAAAAAUAAAAAUAAAAUAAAAACUAUAA